rnacentral:rRNA from 1 species
CCUACGGGAGGCAGCAGUGGGGAAUAUUGGGCAAUGGGCGCAAGCCUGACCCAGCAACGCCGCGUGAAGGAAGAAGGCUCUCGGGUUGUAAACUUCUUUUCUCAGGGACGCAGAAAGUGACGGUACUGGAGGAAUAAGACACGGCUAACUACGGGCCAGCAGCCGCGGCAAUACGGAGGUGGCAAGCGUUAUCCGGAUGUAUUGGGUGUAAAGGGCGUGUAGGCGGGAGCGCAAGUCAGAUGUGAAAACUGAGGGCUCAACCCUGAGCCUGCAUAUGAAACUGUGUUUCUUGAGUGCUGGAGAGGCAAUCGGAAUUCCGGGUGUAGCGGUGAAAUGCGUAGAUAUACGGAGGAACACCAGUGGCGAAGGCGGGUUGCUGGACAGUAACUGACGCUGAGGCACGAAGGCGUGGGGAGCGAACAGGAUUAGAUACCCCAGUAGUC